GACGGAGGAUGCAAGCGUUAUCCGGAAUGAUUGGGCGUAAAGCGUCCGCAGGUGGCAGUUCAAGUCUGCUGUCAAAGACCGGGGCUUAACUUCGGAAAGGCAGUGGAAACUGAACAGCUAGAGUAUGGUAGGGGCAGAGGGAAUUCCUGGUGUAGCGGUGAAAUGCGUAGAGAUCAGGAGGAACACCGGUGGCGAAGGCGGGUCUCUGGGCCGAUACUGACGCUGAGGAGCGAAAGCGUGGGGAGCGAACAGG
rnacentral:rRNA from 1 species